rnacentral:lncRNA from 9 species
GUUCUGAGUUUCAGGGACAUCCAUACAUUUGUGAAGUGAUUGCAAACGCCAUUGGUCCACACCAUGCCUUGGUACAAAUCCAGGUGAAUCCUGGGUGUCAGCAGCCCCUCAGCUGCAUGCUCCUAUGCGAAGGACAACUUGAGCAAUUAAACCUGACAUGGAGUUCCCUGGUGGCACAGCAGGUUAAGGAUCCAGCGUUGUCACUGCUGUAGCUCAGAUUCGAUCUCUAGCCUGGGAACUUUCACGUGCCAAGGGUGAGGUCAAAACAAAACAAAACCUGACCUGAAAGGAACUUGCUUUAGAUGAAAUUUGACAAAGAAAACACUGGACCUUCACUUGAGCUGAAAUGAAGGGAUUGCCCAUGGGAAAAGUUAAGGGAGAAAGAGGGGGCUGUAAGAGCUGCAGCAGAAACUCACUUCAAAGGGCUCCUGAGCAAGGCUGGGCUGGUGUGCAACCAAGCACCCAGUGGGCCCACUCCCAGCGACCCACCAAGCCUGAGAGCUGGUUUGUAACCUAGCAACGCAGGUUUCCUUGCCCACAUUCACAGCUUUGCAAAGACAGGCUGCAAAAUGAAAAUUGAACAGAAUCACCGCAGCUGCAGGUUUUAACCUCCCUGAAACUGGGUGCAGCCCGUCUGAACAUUUGUCCGGACACUGGGCAACUUUCUCUGAGAUACUUUCAGCCCCACUCUACUUCUGCCUCCUGUCCUUUAUGCCCACGGAACUUUUUAGCAUGUCCAGUGCUCCUGGCUCCCUGCUUGCCGUGCUCCCUCCCCCCAUCACCCCUCCUGCAUCCCAAUUUACUCUCCCAGUGAACUUGAAAGUUGUUGGAAAGACUACAGACUUUGCCGUCAGACAGAUCUGGGUUUAAUUUCCAACGAACUAUGUACACUUUGGCUAGUUAUAUAACCCACAUGAGCCUCAGCUUCCUCAUCUAUAAAAUGGGAUUGAUGACACUUAGCUGAUAUGAUGACGCUUGGCUGAUAUGUGAUCCUUAUUUAAGUUAAGCAAAAAUACACACAGAGGGAGUUCCCAUCAUAGCUCAGUGGUUAAUGAAUCCGACUAGGAACCAUGAGGUUGCAGGUUUGAUCCCUGGCCUCGCUCAGUGGGUUAAAGAUACAGUGUUGCUGUGAGUUGUGGUGUAGGUUGCAGAAACGUCUCAGAUCCCGAGUUGCUGUGGCUCUGGUGAAGGCUGGCGGCUACAGCUCCAAUUAGACCUCCAUGUGCCGCGGGUGCGGCCCUAGAAAAGACACACACACACAAAAAAAAUACACACAGAGUAACAGGCAUAUAGUAUUUAAGUACUAGUAUAUAUUUGAAUCAUAUCUUCCUUUUCCUAUGUCUGGAUAUUAAAUUAACACUUUUUAUUAUUAAAAAACAUCUUUUUUACUACAACAGCAGUGCAUGUUAAAUUGCUAAAAACCCAGAGAAGCAAAAAGAAAACACAAAAAACACCAUAAACCCCACCAUCUGCACAGUUACAAUAAGUGCCACUUAAACACUGGAAUCGAGGCAGCAGCUAAGCCCAUCAUGUGCAUUUUAUUUAAUUUAUUAAUUAAUUUAUUUAUUUUAUUUUGCCUUUUCUAGGGCCGCACCCACGGCAUAAGGAGAUUCCCAGGCUAGGGGUCUAAUCAGAGCUGUAGCUGCCAGCCUACGCCAGAGCCACAGCAACGCGGGAUCCGAGCUGCGUCUGUGACCUACACCACAGCUCAUGGCAAUGCCGGAUCCUUAACCCACUGAGCGAGGCCAGGGCUUGAACCCACAAUCCCAUGGUUCCUAGUCGGAUUUGUUAACCACUGAGCCAUGACGGGAACUCCCCAUUAUGUGCAUUUUAAAAUGUAAUCCUCACGACCCUAUAAAAUAGGUGUUAUUUAAAUCUCCAUUUAACAGAUGAUGAAACAAAGUCUCAGAGAGACUAGGUGUGCUGCCCAAAUUCACACAACCAAUAAGGAGCGGAGCUGGGACUUGAAGGCUUCAUUCCCUGUUGAGAAACUUUCAGGUAGCAGAGAAGAUAUUUGGGAGGUGGCGAGCUCUCCAGGGGCUAAGAAAGCUCAAUCCUUCAGCAGCCCCCCACUCCAGAGUUCCCUGCCUGGUGGGCUGUCCCUGGGCACCUGCCUACAUACACUUGUGUGUAAACCUGUGCGGGCUGCUGCAGAGCGUGCUCACAACUCUCGCUGGGAAGGCUGCUGACACAGAGCCAGAGGUCCUGCCCAUCACUACCUUGCUGGGUGACCUUGGACAUGUCCCCCUUGACAGUCCCCAUCUCUCAUGGGAAUAAUAGCAAAUAGUUUUUCCUGUGAUUCUAGAGGAGAUAAAGACUAGAAGACUACCCAGAUAGUUUAAAUGCCACAUGGCAGUUACCGAGAUAACUCAAGGCAAGAAUAAUCUCUAUAGAACGUGUUUACAGUGUUCAAAGGGCAUUUGAUGAAUUGAGAUUAGCAGAGGCACACCAACCAAUACCAAAAGGUGCCUUCUGGUAUAGGAAUAGGCAAAUGCAUAUUGGUCGGAAAAUUUACCUGACAUGCAAACCCAGGACAGGUAGGUUCCAUGUGGCGUGGAUGGGGGAAGCCAGAACCCUGAAGGUACGACAGAUCGCCUGGAGUCAGGAGAGCUUGGGCUGAGAAAUCCCCACUUCUCAUCUGGUGGGAUCCUUCCUGAAAGAGGCUGAGUUCCACGAUCCUGGUCUGCCUAGUUAAGAGUUUCUGGAAACUGAGCUUUGUCUAAGGGUCAUUUCUAUCUCUUUGAAUCUCAGAAUAAGAAGAUUAAACUGGGAAACAGGAGGAGAGGGUGGGCUGAGUUGAGGCUACCGAUGGAUGAUCAAAACCCCGGGAGUGGGUCCUGCUGAUGUCCACAUCUGAGCAUGGGUAGCCCAACCAAGGCAGAGUGCUCAGAUCAAGCGCUCAUUGGUCAGCCUCAUGACUUUCUUGUUCUUAUGCCCUGUGGUUUUAAACCAUCAGCUUCUGCAACAGGAAGUGAAAGCACCGUGUUUCUUCUGGGCUUCAACAGGCUCUUAUAACAAUGCAGUUUCUGUUUCAGCCCGAGAUGCCCUGAAAUAACCUGCACGCCGCUCCAGCUUUGCACGCACCCAGUCAAUAAUUAAUUGGCCACCUAGCAUUCUUGGAGACGCCAGUGAAGACCCAGGGCUCUCUUGGGCUUAUGAAGAUAUCCAGCAGUUCACAACCCUGCUUAUGAAUCACCUCGGAGCUCACCACGGGCACAGGAGAAAAAAACAGUAGAGGAAAUGCCAUCCUCAGUGUCAACUUGAGCAAAAUACCAACCCUGAUGACAUUUGCCUCCAUCUGGAAAGGUCUACCCAGGGAUGGCCCUGUAUAGAGCAUUCAUUGUACACAGUUGCCUUUGCAGGCUGCACUGUCCUUGCACGUUUCCCAGAGCCGACAAAGGAAGGCAGGGCAUAUUAAUGAGUUGCUAGCAGGGUCUGCAGUGUGCCAGCAGCUUUACAGGUGUCAUGUCAUCCCCACAACCACCUGGCGAGGAGUAUCAUUGUUCCUGCUUGCACUGGGGAGACUGCAACUCUGUGGGUGGCUGAGACCUGAGGCUCAGGGGCUGGAGCUGAGGUAGAGUACAUGUUUGUGAGCGUGUGUGUGUGUGUGUGUGUGUGUGUGUGUGUGUGUAGGGUGCACUAAAGAAGGGUGCAGCUCAGGAAGGAAGGACCUUGGGUGUUGGCCCAGAAAUAGGACUUUCUCCUGGAAGCUGCAGGAGCUACUGAAGGGCAGUAGUGAGAGGCACCUAAUUAAAUCUGCAGGAAAGCUCUCUGGCAGCCACGUGAAGGCUGGUAGGGGUGGAGGAGGAGGGAUUAAGAGAAUGAGACUAAAAGAGAAGGCUCUGGAAGAGUAAAUCUGUUGUCUCCACCCCUCCACCCAUCCCCCCACCACACACUGAAAAAUGGUCUCUAGAUUCAGAGAAAUUAUUUGACAAGCCCAAUUUAAAAUUUUACACCCAAGGCAGUGGGUGUUAUUAUUAAUUUGGAAAAUCAAAAUUGGUUAAACUGAGGCCAAUGAGUGAGAGAAGUUGGUGCUGUGGGCAAUAGCCCUGGGAGGUGGCUGCUAUGAGGACCAGCUUGACAAGAUUUGGCAUCAUGACUAAGGGAAGGAUCUGGGGUUUGUUUUGUUCUGUGUUUUGUCUUUUUCGGCCCGCACCCAUGCUAUCUGGAGGUUCCCAAGCUAGGGGUCGAAUUGGAGCUGUUGCCGCCAGCCUACACCACACAGCUCACGGCAACCCCAGAUCCUUAACCCACUGAGCUAAUCCAGGGAUUGAACCUGCAACCUCAUGGUUCCUUGUUGGAUUUGUUUCGGCUGCGCCACAAUGGGAACUCCAGGCCCUGGGGUUUGGAUUUAGGCAGGCUUGAGUGUGAAUUCUGGCUCAGCCAUUGAAAAUGUCAUCUAAUCUCUCUGAUCCUGUUUACCUCUUCACCUCGAAUGUAAAAUAAAUUUCAUCACCCCUGUCUUUGGUGAUUAUGGAGUUAGAGUGUUCACAGUGCCUAGCACACCACUGCUGCUCAGGAAACGCCAGGCAGUGUCUCCCUUGCGCCUAGUUUCACCCCCAGCAACAGCGCCCGCCAACCUGGCUCUUUCUGUGGAGCAACAGUGCCUCUUAGUGGCUAAAUGGAAAAUGACCAGUCUGCCAGGUGCCAGGGCCCGGCUUCUUCGCAUCCCCCAUCCCACAGGUUAGAAGUCUCCUUAGCUCUACCUGGUCAGAGCUAACAACUCAGGCCCACCCAGUCUACAGCUCUUAUGAAAGCCAACUCCUCAUCCUGGCCGGCAAGUGACAUGCUCCAUUGUCCCCAGGACUGGAGGACCUCAAAAGCAGUGGGCAAGGAAGAAAACACAAGCUUGAAUAGCCUGGAAACAGUUUUCUAGAGGUGUUGUGACCUCCAAGCCUUUCCAUCACCUCUCUCCACCCCCACCAAGAAUACUGUGAGUUUAUAAACGGCACCAUCCAGGCCCCUGGCUCCAAGCUAGGUUGCAGAUACAAUGG